CCGCGACCUGCCGGCCCCCGGCCUCCCUGAUUGGCCGUCCUGGAGUGACGUGACGGCCGCCUCGGCCUAUGGCAGCGGAGCCGGCCGGUGGCGGGGUGCGGAAGCUGCGGGGUGCGGCGGGCGCAGUGCCGGUUGGCUUGUGCGGAGUGCGGGUGACGGUUCGGGCGGCGUGCGCGGCCUUUGCUUUGCUCUGUCCUGGCGCCGGCGGGAUGACGCGCUUCGCUCUGACAGUGGUCCGGCAUGGAGAAACAAGACUUAACAAGGAGAAAAUCCUUCAAGGUUGGUAUGCUCUGACUCUUAUUUUAGCUCUCUCUGUUAGUAUUAAUGUGAAAUAUGGGUUAAUCAGAUCCGGUGGGGUAGGGUGGACCGGGGGCCGCUCUGGACUGUGAACUGGGAUUACGGUAUUAAAUCAUCAUGGUCACAGAAAUAUGAUCAGAGCAGAUGGUAACCAAGAGUCUCCUGAGUGAAUUAGAUGUAAAGAACAGUGCUCCAAGUUGGUCGUGGGCAGCUCAAAGCUGAUUAAGGACUUACGUUGAGUCUAGGUGUCUUAAACUGUAUCUGCCAGGAUUUUAAAUGAUUUCAUAUUUGGAAACAAAAAAUUUACUGGCUGGUGUUAAUGGUAUUUUUCUGCUAAGAUACUUAUAUUAUUUUUAGUAGUAACAAAGAAAUGGUUUAAAAAGAGAAUCCCUGUUCUCACAUGGGGUUGUUACUUUAUUCUGAAUAGACUGUCCUCUGCCCCCUGCCUUGUUCUGUUAAUUUGGGUUCAGAUCUUUUAAUCUCCCUGUGAUCCAGCUGGCCUGGCUUUUAAAGAAUAUCUUUCAGCUAGACGUGCUAUUUCUCUGCUUGGAUUAUACAAGCAUUUAGUUUUAUAUUUUUGGAUUAGGGACAUCUGGGGUUUGCAGAAGCUGAUUUUCAUACCCUGUGUGCUUGCCUCCCUCUUCUGGAAAUCAGUCUGAUAAUUAAACGCACCUCUAUUUCCCAUUGACCUGGGCCCCACCCAGAGCACCCUCUGGGCUCACGUACAGUACCGCCUUGUCCGUGGGCCCUGCUCCUUGGUCUCAUUUCAUUCGAAGCUGACGGUAAAACAUGAAUAAAAUUUUCAUGUUCACACCUGUUUUUUUAGGUCUGUUUUGUGUUUUCCUAACUUUGGAAGUUAGAUGCUUAGUUCUUUAAGUUAUGGCCUCCUUUUUAUUUUUUUUAAAACCCUCAAGCCUUAUAUGUUUCUAAGUACCAUUUUUUUGUCACAUACCUGCAGUUUUGAUUUGUAGUAAUCUGGUAAGUAUUCAGCACCAAGUAUCUUAAAUUUCCGUUAUGAUUUCUUCGUUGACCCAUGAGUUAUUUAGAACUGUUUUUUAAAUUUCCAAAUGAAUGGGCUUUUUGGUUUUGUUCUUCAUCUUUUGUGAUUGGCUUCCACUGUAAUUGCUUUGUGUUCUGACAAUAUGGUUUAUUUGAUAAUACGUCUUUGAAAUUGGUUAGCAUGGUCAGUUUUUAUAAACCUACUACUGUGUGUUUGAGAAAAAAUCUGUUUUCUAAUUGUUGGGUGUGGAGUUCUAUAUCAAAUACUUGACCUUGAUUUUGUUGUUCACAUCUUCCAUACUUUACUAAUUUUGUAAAUUUACUCAUUUGCCUGUAUGAGCUAAGCGUCAAUUUAUGAGUGAGAUAUGUUGAAUUUCCCGCGUGAUGGCCAGCUCAUGCUUUAAUACCUGAAGUUCUGUCAACUUGUGCUUUAUGUGUUUUGCUUUUAUGCAGCUAGAGGCUAAUUUAUUAGGCACAUACAAGUUUUAAAAUUGCUCUGUCUCCGUGGUGAAUGGGAACACUGACUGUUUAUAGUGAUCUUCACAAUCCUUACUAAGACUUUUGUCAUAAAGUCUGCAUUUCUGAGAGUGAUAUGGCAACUCCGGCUGUUUGGGGUUGGGAUUUGCCUGGUAUAUAUUUUCCUAUCCCUUUCCGUUCAACCUUGCUGUGUACUGAUGUCCUAAGUGUUACCUUGUAAAUGGUAGGCAGCUGAUUCUGAUUCUUUAAAAAAAAAAAAAGAAAGAAAAGAAAUAUGAUCUUUCUGUUAACUGGUGAGAGUGGUCUGUCCACAUUGACUCUGGUUUCUGGUGUGUUUGGACUUAUCCUUUGUGGUUCUUUUCUCCCUUCUUUAUCUAGUCCUUUACUUCUUAGGUGCCUGCUUUUCUUUUUCUUCUCUUUAUCCAGCCCACUCUUACUUUCCCUACUGGCCUCAAAAUAAGCCAUCUCUAUCCUUUUGAUGGUUGCCUUUAUAUCUUUACCAUUUGUGCCUAACAAAGUGUAAGAGAAAUAUCAUCUCUCCUGAAAAAAUACAAAGUGUGUGCUGCUGUUCAGUCCUGUCCUUUUUUAACCAUGCAGUGUAGGCAUUAUUAUUUAAUUUGUUACCUAGUGUUUGUUUAGAUUGACAUCGGUAGUUGCCAGUUUCUCUCCUCACCGUUUCUUUUGCGUCUCAGACCUUCAUUCCUGAAACAUCUUUUUUGAAAAGUCCUCUUGUGUAAAUCAAUUUGUGGUAAAGAUCGUUUCAACUGAUUCUAUUCCAGACAAUUCUGUUUUUAUUCUCCUCAGUCUUUUUUAGUCCAGACAGUUCUAGACUCACAGUUCUCUUAGCUCCUGGCAGCUAUUCGUCCGCUGCUUUCUGGCUUCAGAAGUCUUCUCUCAUCCAGAUGGUGUCCCACCGCGGGUAUCUGUCUUUCUCUGCAACUGCUUUUAAAGUCUUUGUGUUUUAUUCUGGUAUUCUACAGUUUCUCUUACUAAAUCUAGGAAGGUACUUUUUUUUUUUUUAGUAAUUUAUCCUUCUUGGUGUACACUGUGUUUCCUUCAUCGGAAACAUAGUUUUAUGUGUUCCCUCACUUCUGUUCUCCAUUUUCUUUCCUGUCUUUCUGGAGUUCCCACUGGAUGUGCUCAGGAAUCCUCGUCCUUUCUCCGUGUCUCUGACACAUCUGUGCUCCUCUGUCUCCUCGUGUCUGUGCCAGGGGCCAGCUUCAGCCCUGCCUUUGGGCUUGUGAAGCUUCUCAGCUUAAUGAAUCUCCUUUUAUCCACUGAGGGAUGUUUUUUUCCCCUCCUCAGCAAUUCCAUUUUUCACUGUUAAAAGACCUGUCUGGUUCUUUUGGAAAGCUAUCUGGUUUUUGAUCGCUUGUUGUCGCUUAUUUUUGUGACUCUGUUUAUAGUCUCUGCUGAUUUACACGUCUGACGUAUUAGUGGUUCCAAAUCUGUUACUUGUUGUUUCUGCCAACUCUCAUUCAUGACAGAUUAUUUUCCUGUGUGUUGAGUCAUUGGCUGACCUGUUACUUGCUCUAAAUUAGUAGAAGACUUGUCAGCGUUUAUUGAGAAUGACUUGCGAUACUGAACGUUACUGAAUUCAGACAGUGGAGAUAAAGAAGGAAAACUUUUCUAGGUGAUGAUCCGACUGCCCAAAUGCAGCAGCUGAGCUGAAAACGUAAGGUAGGGGCAGCAUUAAUAAAACACGUGGUGAAGUGAUGGGCGAUGUGGGGGGGAGAGCUCGGGGCAGCCUCCUCAUUACCCAGUUCUCGCCAGACACACAUUCUUCUGGGAGAUACAGAAGAGCUUUUACAGGAUCCUAGCUGAAUUUUGCUUGCUUUCAGUUCUCUGAAAAGUUACGUGGAAAAGUACCCAAGGGAAUCUUGUAAUAAAAUAUAGGUAAAUGCCCUUUAUAUUCUCUUAGG
rnacentral:lncRNA from 1 species